AUAUUAAGUCGGUCCGCGGUGGACGAGGCGCGCAAGGGGCGGCAGGAUGUGACGAGAGCGGAACGGCCGGGGGCAGCCACGAGGAAAGGAGAGGAGAGGAGAGCAUCGUAUAGAGAUGGUUUGCCGGGGCGAGGCCGGGGCGGCCGGGGAGCGCAGAAUGAGACGUGUAAUAAAGCAAUAACCUCCCGCCUGCCCGCCCGUUCUUGCUUGCGAGCCACCCCCUGGAUCUCUGCCGCCAACAACACUGAUACGCACCACCAGACGAACAGGAAGAAGCCGCUGCGAGCGCGAGAUCACCGAUUUUACACGCUCGGCCAGAUACAGGAGCCGCGCCACGAUCGACAGGAUAUUGCCGCCAUUUGUUGCCUCGCUGCACCGAUUUCAGAAGGAACCGGACUCGUGCGCUACGGCUUUCGUUCUAAUUUUUACCCGCCUGAUCGACAGCCUUCUGUGAAAUCAUUGGCUUCGUAACGAGGUUGAAGCGUCGCGUCGCGUCGCGCGCCGGUGCUAAUUUACUGCUUAAUCUAUUAUCCGUGUGUUCUACAGGCGUGUGAAAGAAUUUAGGUGUCCCUAUGUAACGAAUUGCUCGUAUUUAUUAACCGUAAAUAUAGAUAUGUAAUGAACGCAA